CCUACGGGUGACAGCAGUGGGGAAUAUUGCACAAUGGGGGAAACCCUGAUGCAGCGACGCCGCGUGAGUGAAGAAGUAAUUCGUUAUGUAAAGCUCUAUCAGCAGGGAAGAAAAUGACGGUACCUGAGUAAGAAGCCCCGUCUAACUACGUGCCAGCAGCCGCGGUAAUACUGAGGGGUCAAGCGGUAUCCGGCUUGACUGGAUGGAAAGGGAGCGUAGACGGCAGUGCAAGUCUGGAGUGAAAGGCGGGGGCUCAACACCCGGACUGCUCUGGAAACGGUACGGUGGGAGUGCAGGAGAGGUAAGUGGAAUUCCUAGUGUAGCUGUGAAAUGCGGAGAUAUGAGGAGGAACACCAGUGGCGAAGGCGGCUUACUGGAUUGUAACUGACGUUGAGGCUCGAAAGCGUGGGGAGCAAACAGGAUUAGAUACCCUAGUAGUC
rnacentral:rRNA from 1 species